GAUGAACGCUGGCGGCGUGCCUAAUACAUGCAAGUAGAACGCUGAAGGAAGGAGCUUGCUCUUUCCGGAUGAGUUGCGAACGGGUGAGUAACGCGUAGGUAACCUGCCUGGUAGCGGGGGAUAACUAUUGGAAACGAUAGCUAUUCCGCAUAACAGUAGAUUGUGCAUGAUAUCUACUUAAAAGGUGCCAUUGCACCACUACCAGAUGGACCUGCGUUGUAUUAGCUAGUUGGGGAGGUAACGGCUCACCAAGGCGACGAUACAUAGCCGACCUGAGAGGGUGAUCGGCCACACUGGGACUGAGACACGGCCCAGACUCCUACGGGAGGCAGCAGUAGGGAAUCUUCGGCAAUGGACGGAAGUCUGACCGAGCAACGCCGCGUGAGUGAAGAAGGUUUUCGGAUCGUAAAGCUCUGUUGUAAGAGAAGAACGAGUGUGAGAGUGGAAAGUUCACACUGUGACGGUAUCUUACCAGAAAGGGACGGCUAACUACGUG
rnacentral:rRNA from 1 species